AUUGAACGCUGGCGGUAUGCUUAACACAUGCAAGUCGAACGGCAGCACGGUAUGUAGCAAUACAUAUGGGUGGCAAGUGGCGGACGGGUGAGUAACGCGUUGGAAUCUGCCCUCAAGCGGGGGACAACCCGAGGACACUCGGGCUAAUACCGCAUAAACUCGGAGGAGAAAAGCUGGGGUAACCUGGCACUUGAGGAGGAGCCUGCGUCUGAUUAGCUAGUUGGUAUGGUAAAGGCCUACCAAGGCGAUGAGCAGUAGCUGGUCUGAGAGGAUGACCAGGCACACUGGAAAUGAGACACGAUCGAGACUUCUACGGGAGGCAGUAGUGGGGAAUAUUGGAGAAUGGGGGAAGCCCUGAUUCAGCAAUACCGCGUGUGGGAAGAAGGCCUUCGGGUUGUAAAGCACUUUAGUUGGGGAGGAAGGUUAGCAGUUUAAGAGAUGGCUAAUUUGACUGUACCCAAAGAAUAAGCACCGGCUAACUCUGUGCCAGCCGCCGCCGUAA
rnacentral:rRNA from 1 species